UGGGGAAUAUUGGACAAUGGGCGAAAGCCUGAUCCAGCGACGCCGCGUGGGUGAAGAAGGCCUGCGGGUUGUAAAGCCCUUUCGGUGGGGAAGAAAAGCCUCGACCUAAUACGUCGGGGUCUUGACGUAACCCAAGAAAGAAGCACCGGCUAACUCUGUGCCAGCAGCCGCGGUAAUACAGAGGGUGCGAGCGUUAAUCGGAAUUACUGGGCGUAAAGCGCGCGUAGGCGGCUUUGCAAGUCGGGUGUGA
rnacentral:rRNA from 1 species